AUAUUCAGUAUUGGUCUUUCUUGGCUAUGCAGGUGACGCCAAAAGCUAUCCGGUUGAGAAAGAGAUAUCUGGAUGUUGGUAAGCGUAAAACAAUGAGCAAAAGACCGAAGGAGUGAAUUUGUCGCUCAACAAAUUUCCCUAGAGUUGGACGAUUAGAAUUUGGGAGAUUGUAGAUAUAGUCAGAUUCUGAGAGCAAAAGGAAAGAAUUUGAAGAUGGGCGCAUUGAAGGGAGAGCCGCUAGUUAUGAAGCUGGCAAAGGUGGCGCAAUACAGCAUUUUUCCUGGAGCCAGGAUUGCCGUCCUCUACUCACCUCCCGAUUACGCUUUACGCAAAAAAACCAUCUGAUUCUAAACCCCCAGUUCUUCUUCCCAUUAGAUUCAAUGGCUCUUAGCUGUUUAAACAUGCAUCUUUGUAUUUCCUUGCGAUAUGUUAGUUUAAUAUGGCAUGUAAUAAAUAAUUAUUGCUCCUUUUGUGGCUGUGUACCAGCUUGUAAACAAUUAGGAUUUUGAGUUUCAAUAUCUUCUGAAGAAAAUUGUUGCUUUCCUGUUAA